rnacentral:rRNA from 1 species
UACGUAGGGUGCAAGCGUUAAUCGGAAUUACUGGGCGUAAAGGGCGCGUAGGCGGCACGGCAAGUCAGGAGUGAAAGCCCUGGGCUCAACCCAGAAACUGCUUUUGAAACUGCCGAGCUAGAGUGCGGAAGGGGCAACUGGAAUUCCCAGUGUAGCGGUGAAAUGCGUAGAUAUUGGGAAGAACACCUGAGGCGAAGGCGGGUUGCUGGGCCGACACUGACGCUGAGUGCGCGAAAGCCAGGGGAGCGAACGGG